UACGUAGGCAGCAAGCGUUGUUCGGAAUUACUGGGCGUAAAGAGUGUGUAGGCGGUGCUCUAAGUUCGGUGUGAAAUCUCCCGGCUCAACUGGGAGGGUGCGCCGAAAACUGGAGUGCUGGAGCGCGGGAGAGGAAAGCGGAAUUCCUGGUGUAGCGGUGAAAUGCGUAGAUAUCAGGAGGAACACCGGCGGUGUAGACGGCUUUCUGGUCCAGCACCGACGUUCAGGCACGAAAGCGUGGGGAGCAAACAGG
rnacentral:rRNA from 1 species